rnacentral:rRNA from 1 species
UACAGGGGGUGCAAACGUUGCUCGGAAUCAUUGGGCGUAAAGCGCACGUAGGCGGUUCGCUAUGUCGGAUGUGAAAGCCCUUGGCUUAACCGAGGAAGUGCAUCCGAAACUGGCGAGCUAGAGUACUAAAGAGGAUCGCGGAAUUCCCGGUGUAGAGGUGAAAUGCGCAGAUAUCAGGAGGAACACCGGUGGCGAAGGCGGGUCUCUGGGCCGAUACUGACGCUGAGGAGCGAAAGCGUGGGGAGCGAACAGG